rnacentral:lncRNA from 1 species
AAAAAUUUUUUCCCGGAAAAACUGAGUUCGUGUUCAAUUCAGAGAUCCGUCGAGGAUCAAAGUUUUAUGUUAGCUGCUGAUUCGGGAUGCUGUUCGAGAUUUUGUCAUUGGUUCGAGGUUUUCAUCAGUAUCUCAUCUCGCAUGUUUGGAAAUCUUCUUUCAUUGUACACGGUGAAAAUUUGCAGCAGUAGAGGUCCGUUUCUAACUUUCUUCUUCAAUGUUUCUUGUAAUAUUCCUGUGAAUGAAUUGAUAAAGAUGGUUAUCUUCUGUACCUUGAAAUCUUAUCUUGGUGUGCAAUUUGGUUAAAUUAGAUCUGUGGUUAAUGAGCGUACAUGCUAAAUUGUGUUUGAGGAAAGUCGUUUGAAUUAAUACAGUGAGUCAGCAAGAACGUGAAUUAACCGACGUUUUAAUUUCUUUAAUCACUUUGGUUGAUCUACUAUAAUUGAAUGUUUUACCUUAGUUUAAUGGGAUGCAUUGGUUUAGCAGAACUUUUAAUAACAUUUGGCCACGAGCUUUGUCAUUAAGCGAGUGAGAAUUUGAGUUUAUUGGGCCACAAGCUUGGCGUUAAAUGAAAGAAAAUUGGAGUGUAUCACUGUAUUCUGUUAAUUAGUCAUAAUAGCAUGUUAGGCCAUGAACCUUUAGGCACGUAAUUCAUCACAAUUACGGGUAUGGUUCCCGUGGCGUAGUCGUGAUACCUAAUUUCAAAUUUAUUUUAAAUAUAAAUAUCCGUAGUUUGCAUUAGUUGAGUACAAAUCUUCUCUUUAAAUAAGUUGAGGUGCGCCAUACGCAAACAAAAUCCAUAAUCUAUGGCCCUCAUAUUAAUUAUCUUAACUAAUGUAGAAAAUGCAUUGAACUCUCUUAGUUUGCUUCAGGCGCGUUUAUGUAAAUAAAUUGUCAUAGCUACGGGUACGGUUCCCGUGUCGUAGUUGUGAUGCCUAAUUUCUAAAUCCGGGGUACAUUUAUGUGAUUCGGCCACAAUUUAUUCUUGUUAAUAAAAUAAAGACAUUGUAGAUUGUGGGUACGAUUCCCAUGACACGAUUCACAAUGUGUAAUUAAAAUAAUUAGUUGUAUAAUAAUUAGAGUAGUAAAAAUGGUUUAGAAGGAAUAAAAUGCACAUAGGUUCCAAAAAUAUUUUAAAAUCAGAUAAAUAGACCAAUAAUAAUAGUUGAGCGACCGUGCUAAAACCACGGAACUCGGGAAUGCCUAGCACCUUCUCUCGGAUUAACAAAAUUUCUUUCCCAGAUUUUUGUGUUCGCGGACUGUAAAACAGAGUCAAUCUUUCCUCGAUUUGGGAUUUGAACCGGUGACUUGGGACACCAUAAAUUAUCCCAAGUGAUGACUCUGAACAAUAAAUAAAUAAUCACGUUUCGAUUGUCAUUUAAAUUGGAAAAAAACUCCCUUAUACCCUUUCCGGGGUAGAAAAAGGAGUUGUGACAGCUCUGGCGACUCUGCUGGGGACCGAACCCAGAAUCUCUAGUUCAGGGUUCAAGAAUUCGUACAUAGAAUAAUUGUUAUAUUUGGCUUUAUUUAUUAUCUGGUUUUAAUUAAAUGUUUGGGCCUAAUGGGCUAAAUGUUGCUUUUUACCGCUUUGAUAUUAUCUGAACUGUAUAUAAACUGCUACGAAACCCUUCUCUUGUCAUCUUCGGGGAAGUGCACGCUGGAGUGAUUCCUUUUCUAUUAGUGUCUUACCUUAAAUUAGAAAGAGACUCGGACAAGUUACAAAACUGGAUGGCCUUUUGGUUCCUGGUUCGUAGCCCACCCUCGGCUCGAGUUGUCUGCUCGGGUGCACAUGUCUAGAAUAAUAUAUCGAAGUUUUGAACCUAGAAUAACUCAGCCUCAUGCCGGAUCCCUAAUAGGAACGCUUGAUUGCAUCUGGUGCAUUUGACUUUGGGGACUCAACACAGGUGUUGGGUCCGUCUAGGACAGGUGUAUCCAAAGAAUAAAAGACCAUCAUGAAGCAUCCUAUGUGCUACAUGUAUUUUCAAGGUUAAACGAGGUCAUUUAGCGGACCAAUGAGGUUUGAGGUUAAAUGAGAAAAAAAGAGGGUGAAGUGUAAAAAAUAUAGCAAGUAUGACUCAGUUAUGUUUUCUUUCACAUUUUUUAAGAAAAGACAAAAAAAAUGAAAAUAGAAAAAUCCAAAAAGAAUUUGCACUUUCCCAUUAAUUUUUUUAAAAAUAAAAUCAGAAAAAAGAGGAAAAAUAAAAUCCAAAAAGAGAUUACAUGUUUCAUUAUUUUUCAAAACAAAAGACAAAAAAUAUGUUUUCUCAAAAUUAGUUUUUUUUAAUUCUCGCUCAUAUCUAAUCUGCCCGAACUACGCAUACCUGAUUCUCGUUUUUCGGGGCGUGAUACGUAGGCAACCCACAUAGGAUCCGGUCUUCCUAGUGAGUUUAGGUUCUUGGCUUCGCUGGGUCUUAGCCUAAUCUUGCAUUUUUAGUCAUAUUUAGCCACAUAGGUUAAUCUUAGAAAAAUAGUCACAACCAUGUCUUGCAUGUGUCUAAUAGGGAAUGUUAUUGUCUCAUAUAGUGUUGGUUUCAGUUUUCUCAUACAGGUGUGGAUCUACUUACCGGAGUUUGAUCAUGACAGAUAUCCAGGACCACUGCAUUCAGGAGCUACUUGAGGAG